rnacentral:rRNA from 1 species
GACGAACGCUGGCGGCGUGCUUAACACAUGCAAGUCGAACGGUGAAAGCGGAGCUUGCUCCGCUGGAUCAGUGGCGAACGGGUGAGUAACACGUGGGCAACCUGCCCCUCACUUCGGGAUAACUCCGGGAAACCGGGGCUAAUACCGGAUAUGACCUCCUUGGGCAUCCUUGGAGGUGGAAAGUUUUUCGGUGAGGGAUGGGCCCGCGGCCUAUCAGCUUGUUGGUGAGGUAGUGGCUCACCAAGGCGACGACGGGUAGCCGGCCUGAGAGGGCGACCGGCCACACUGGGACUGAGACACGGCCCAGACUCCUACGGGAGGCAGCAGUGGGGAAUAUUGCGCAAUGGGCGAAAGCCUGACGCAGCAACGCCGCGUGCGGGAUGACGGCCUUCGGGUUGUAGACCGCUUUCAGCAGGGAAGAAGCGAAGGUGACGGUACCUGCAGAAAAAGCACCGGCUAACUACGUGCCAGCCGCCGCGGUAA